rnacentral:rRNA from 1 species
GACGAACGCUGGCGGCGUGCUCAACACAUGCAAGUUGAACGAAGUGGCGAACGGGUGAGUAACGCGUAAUCAACCUGCCCUUCAGAGGGGGACAACAGUUGGAAACGACUGCUAAUACCGCACACCGACGGAGGGGCUUGCGUCUGAUUAGCUAGUGGGAGGGGUAACGGACCACCAAGGCGAUGAUCAGUAGCCGGUCUGAGAGGAUGAACGGCCACAUUGGGACUGAGACACGGCCCAGACUCCUACGGGAGGCAGCAGUGGGGAAUCUUCCGCAAUGGACGAAAGUCUGACGAAGCAACGCGGCGUGAGUGAUGACGGCCUUCGGGUUGUAAAGCUCUGUUAAUCGGGACGCGGUACCGAAAUAGAAAGCCACGGCUAACUACGUGCCAGCAGCCGCGGUAAUUC